GAAUAGAUGUUGCAAAUAGAUGCUCGGUGCCACAAAGAAAAAUUAGCACUGAGACCAAGGGUCUUUCAGUAACGCAGUUUUUACCUCCUGGACUGCAGGAGGGCUCCUCUAGAGAGCUGCCCAGCUCU